rnacentral:misc_RNA from 1 species
UUGCCACUCUUGUUGCCGCCCUGGUUCUCCCCUUUGCCGCCGGCGCGGUCCGACUGAUCGCUACCGGACUGAUUGCCGUUGCUGCCUGAUUGAUUGCCCUGAUUGGCCAUUCGAUCUCACUCCUUAGCGCCCUGAUCGGCGCAGAGAGAAAAUUCACGAGAUCAGUGCACGUUCCUGCGCUCCAGGUAAGUAUAUUGUUACGUAUGAGCAUGAUCAGUACUGAGCUGAUAUUGCUAGGCUUUUCGAUCAGAUAAGAUAAAGUAAUCUUUGUGACUAACAUAAGUAAUUUUGGGG